AACAAGGAUUCCCCUAGUAACUGCGAGUGAAGCGGGAAAAGCUCAAAUUUAAAAUCUGGUGGUCUUUGGCCAUCCGAGUUGUAAUUUAGAGAAGCGUCUUCCGCGCUGGACCAUGCAUAAGUCUCCUGGAAUGGAGCGUCAUAGAGGGUGAGAAUCCCGUCUUUGGCAUGGACCCCCAGGGCUUCUGUGAUGCGCUCUCAAAGAGUCGAGUUGUUUGGGAAUGCAGCUCAAAAUGGGUGGUGAACUCCAUCUAAAGCUAAAUAUUGGCGAGAGACCGAUAGCGAACAAGUACCGUGAGGGAAAGAUGAAAAGCACUUUGGAAAGAGAGUGAAACAGUACGUGAAAUUGUUGAAAGGGAAACGCUUGAAGUCAGUCGCGUCGACCGAGACUCAGCCUUGCCUUGGCUUGGUGUACUUCUCGGCUGACGGGUCAGCAUCAAUUUCGAUCCUUGGAUAAUGGCAAGGGAAAGGUAGCACCUUUAAGGGUGUGUUAUAGUCCUAUGUCGGAUGCAAGGGUCGGGAUUGAGGAACUCAGCACGCACCCAGUCGGUGUCGGGGCCUUGGCCUACGUUACGUGCUUAGGAUGCUGGCAUAAUGGCUUUAAACGACCCGUCUUGAAACACGGACCAAGGAGUCUAACAUGCACGCGAGUGUUCGGGUGGAAAACCCGUGCGCGUAAUGAAAGUAAAAGUUGGGACCUCUGUCGUGGAGGGCACCGACGCCCGGACCAGACCUUCUGUGACGGCUCUGCGGUAGAGCGUGUAUGUUGGGACCCGAAAGAUGGUGAACUAUGCCUGAAUAGGGUGAAGCCAGAGGAAACUCUGGUGGAGGCUCGUAGCGAUUCUGACGUGCAAAUCGAUCGUCAAAUUUGGGUAUAGGGGCGAAAGACUAAU
rnacentral:rRNA from 1 species